GCUAUGUCUUGCCACCCCAGAUGAUUGAGUCAUAUAUAAAUACAUAUUAUAUAUAUAUAUAUAUAUAUGUAUGUAUGUAUAUAUAUAUAUAUAUAUAAAAUAUGUAUUUAUAUAUGACUCAGUCAUUUGGGGUGGAAAGACAUAGCCG